UUAAUUUGAAAUAAAAUAAUACUUUCGGUGAACGAUACGAUUAUUUUAUUCACGAAAGGUUAUAGAGAUAAAAAAAAUCAAUAAUUUAUCGACAUUAACCAAAAUCCUCCAUACUUUAAAGGAAACAACUAUUUUGAAAAAUUCCCAUUCAUCUUUAAAAUAAACUUAAUUCACAAUAUUUUCAUAUAUUGUAACGAUAGUACUAAUACUAUUGAGAGGACACCAGUUUUCUAAAUAGUUACUGACACCUGAACUAAUAAACACCAAAGGAUAAGACUGCUAAUUAAAAUACAAUACCGGUAUGGUUCUUGAGCGGUAAAGGGGAUCUUUCACCUUGUCCCUUAUGUAACUUAAUGCUCUGGAAAUGUGUUCCCAGCCAGCACACCACUAUCGGAUAGAUAUCGGUAGCAAAACGGUAUAUCGGCAAAUCGGCAAGAUGUCUAUCCGAUGUUAAUCCGUUUCGCCGCCCGAUAUAUGUAACUACCAAAAAAGUCAUUUAACAUGCAACGUGUUUAAUGAAAUAUUACAAAAUACAUAUAUUCGUAACAUAAAACAUAAAUAUGGUCAAUAAUUAAUAUACAACUUGUGCUUGUUUUUGCCGAUAGCGAGCCGACAACGGCCCGUUGUGGUUGUAAAUGUUUUCGUUCAAAAACGAUAAUUUCGUUCGGUUAAAGAAAUUUUCUGGCGGUCAAGUUAAAUGAGGCGUUCGAACACAAACAUUGCGUCUUGCGUUUUGUUUCGGAGAUCUUCAUUAAAGUUCAAAUUCACCACUAUUGUUUACAAGACCCAGCCCUCAACAGCCAACCCACAUUUCUAGUGCCAUGGGGAAUCGGCAAGGUUGUCUUCUGACAGACCACACGAUAGUUCCAGAAGCCCUCAAGCAAGUCUUUCUGAACACAAACAGUUACAUGGAGUUUUUCAUAAAAGCAUUGCUUCGAAUGCCAGUGGCUGCCAUGAGGGAGGGUGCACCAAGCCUUUGACGAUGACAUCAGCCAUGGCCAAAGAACAUUAUGAUGAUUAGUUAACUUUCUAUAUAACUGUUAAUUGUGUUAAUAGUUACAACUUAUAAGGUUUACAAUUUUAAUCUUACCUUAUACACUUUAAAUUAUGACUUUUAUUGUGUCAUCCUCAAAAUAAGACCGCCUUUGAUUCAUUAUAUAUAUAUUCUUAAAUAUUAAGGCGUUAAGUUAAUAUAAUAACAUGAAUAUAAUUUAAAAUAGUUAAUUAUUAAGAACAACGUUUGCCGUUAUCGAGACUCGAACCAUUGUAUGUCAUUAUAUUGAUUAAACAGUUAUUGCUGUUACCACUCGGCAAUCCGGACUGCUAUACAAAGUCUGCUUUUGAUACUUUAUUUAUAUAAGUGAUGUACGUGUACUGUUGUUACACAAUUUAAAGGAAUUAGCAGAAACUAGCUACUCUACAAAUUUUAACGGAAUAAACAGAAACAAGCAAUUCCAACAUAUUCAAUCGUUUCGAGUGUGUAACACUAGUUUCAAGUGUGUAACACUUUAUAAUUUUAUCAAUUUCAAAUGAUCACUAUUCAUAAACUAAACUUGAUUUCCAUCAUCAGUCUACGCCAUACAGUGUCAUUUUGACAAUCUGUGAACAAUGCCCUUCUAGGCUUUCCUUUCUAUAGCCAAAUUUGCAUCAAUAUAUAUUAUACAAUCUAGUAACUUGUAACUUUUGCUAUUUUAUGAUAAAUGGGUUUUAAUGAAGAAAAUGAUGCAGCCAAAUAUAAAAUUCUUAAACAAAAUGUUUCAACUUGCAGUCGUUGGCUAAAUUUGGUGAAUGGCAGAGUUAGCCCUGCCCUUUUUUGCUGUAUAUUGUUCCAAAUAGGUAGUUGAGAUUAGAUUGUGGGUGAAAAGUGCAUUUUUAUACUAAUUAUGUACAUUUUCUUAAAAUUGAUUGUCCUUAAUUCCUGUUUCAUGCAAGCUGUGUGUUAUACUUAGUUACAUACAGUCGCCUUUUUAUACAUUUUAUACAUCAGUACGUUUAAUAGGUUACUUUUAAACUGCUAAAAAUUAAUAUUUUUAAUAUAUCAGCAGGAUUGUUUUAUUCCUUUUUGUAUUUAAUCCUGUUGUUGCCUAAAGAAGGCACAUUGUGUCAAUAUAUUGCUGUUUUUCAAUUUCAACCAUACCUGAAUAUUUGUCAUGUAAAAAGGUUUCGAUUAAGUUUAUCAAAAGUAUGCAUUUUAUCAUAUAGAUUAAAUAUUGAGACAGGUAGAUGGCUAGACCUGUGUCUAUUCCAUUAGAUCAAAGAAAGUGUAUUUAUUUGUUGUAAACUCGAAAAUGAGUUUAAUUUUAUUCUUGAAUGUAAAUUACCGGUAUAUAUGGAACUGAGAUCAAAAUGAUUUUUUUUAAAUAUAUUCAAUUGUAUUACAGACAAAGACCAAAUAUGUACACAUUUGUCGAGCUAUUUACAUCAAUUAAUGGGCUAUAAAAGUCUCUAUAACACUCAAAAUCAACGAAAAUUUCAUAAAGUAUUUUUUCAAAUAAAGUUAACACCUAAACAAUCAGUGUUUCAUAUUGGUAUAGCCACAAUUUCAACGCAAGAUGUGGUAUGAUUACAUAGAUUUUUUUAGAUACAAAAUGCUCAUUUUUAUUUAUUUGUGACCAAAUUUAUUCUAUUUGAAUUUCCUGCCAAUAUAUCUAUUCAUACAACACACAAGCACCAUGUUAGUGUUCAUGUGUUGUAUGACUAGAUAUCAUUGCGGGAAAUUAAAAUGGAAAAACAACGAGCAUUGUGUAUCUACAAACAUCUAUUUGACUUGACCACAUCUGGCGUUGAAAUUUCGGCAAUUGCCAUUAAGGAACACCAAUUUUUAAUUGGUUAAGUUUAUUUUAAGAAAUAUUGUACGAAAUUAUCGUUGAUUUUAAGUAGUAAUGUUACUUUAAUAAAACAAAUUUGGCCGUUAUAUUUAUCACUCUUCAGGUUCAAUCACAUUAUUCCUUUGUACCAUCAACUUAAUGUAUUCUGAUGUGUUUUGUAUCGCAUAUAUCUUCUUGUUACUGUAAUUGUAUUUGUUAUGUACAGCAUACAUAAUGUUGUUACUUACACAUUAUAAAGUGGGACACAAUGUGGACUUUAUGGAUUGUUUGCUAUUUUAAAACUGUAAAAACAUACUUGCUGUCAAUUAUACUUAAACACCUGUAUCAAGAAGGAUGUAAUAUAAUCUAUGUUCUAAUCUUAUCUUCUGAAUUGCAGUGUAGUAAGCCUCAAGACUGUUUAUUGUUUCGUUAAGGAUUGACAGUCUAAACGUGGCGUUAAUAGACUACAUUUAAAUAGUUGCGAUUAUUUUAUUUAUUGGAUAGUAUCAUAUAUUUUUUUUGCUUUACCACUGUCGAUUGUAUAGAAUAGGUAGUCUAAAAAAGGCGUUAACAUCAGUUUAUAAACAUGUAAUUGCUAUAAAGUAUAAUAUGAUACAUGUUCUGUAUAUUGUUUUACCCCUUAAGUAUUAUGGUACAGUAUAAGAAACAUUUCUUCAUCUAUGUUUUUCUAUUAAGACUCUUUGAAAUAACAGAUAAUUUAAGAAAACUAUUUAUCUGUGAUUGCAUUGAAAUGUAUGUUAAAUAUGAAAUACAAUUGAUAUCCUACACUGUCAUUAAAAUUAUCAAUAAUUGUAGUACUCCACUUUCAAUUGUUUGUCCAUAGUACAUUCUGAAGAUAAUUUAGAUUUUUAUAUGGUUAAGAUUUUAGUUGCCAUAUUUAAAUUGUAAACGCAGAUGUAUGAUAUAUGUGUGUUCAUAUGUUUUCUAUUUGUAAACACUGAUGUAAAACUUUGUCCACUUGGGUUGUUGGCCUUCUUGGUAGAAUUUGUAAUAAACCAUAAAUCUUAUAUGGUGAAGAAAAACUUCAUUGUAAUAAAAAUAAUCAUGUAAGUGAAUAAAUAAAAUAGUUGUUUUAAUGUUAUUAUGACAUAAUGCCUUUUCGAAGUAAAUGUUUAUAAGAUAAAUCAGUGUUGUUUGUUAUAUACAUGGAAUGGAGGAUGUUACAUAAAA